UAUUGCACAAUGGGGGAAACCCUGAUGCAGCAACGCCGCGUGAAGGAAGACGGUUUUCGGAUUGUAAACUUCUAUCAAUAGGGAAGAAAGAAAUGACGGUACCCAAAGAGGAAGCCCCGGCUAACUACGUGCCAGCAGCCGCGGUAAUACGUAGGGAGCAAGCGUUGUCCGGAAUUACUGGGUGUAAAGGGAGCGUAGGCGGGAUGGCAAGUAGAAUGUUAAAUCCAUCGGCUCAACCGGUGGCUGCGUUCUAAACUGCCGUUCUUGAGUGAAGUAGAGGCAGGCGGAAUUCCUAGUGUAGCGGUGAAAUGCGUAGAUAUUAGGAGGAACACCAGUGGCGAAGGCGGCCUGCUGGGCUUUAACUGACGCUGAGGCUCGAAAGCGUGGGGAGCA
rnacentral:rRNA from 1 species